rnacentral:rRNA from 1 species
UACAGAGGGGGCAAGCGUUGUUCGGAAUUACUGGGCGUAAAGGGCGCGUAGGCGGCCUACUAAGUCAGACGUGAAAUCCCCCGGCUUAACCUGGGAACUGCGUCUGAUACUGGAAGGCUUGAGGAUGGGAGAGGGAUGUAGAAUUCCAGGUGUAGCGGUGAAAUGCGUAGAUAUCUGGAGGAAUACCGGUGGCGAAGGCGGCAUCCUGGACCAUUACUGACGCUGAGGCGCGAAAGCUAGGGGAGCAAACGGGG